UACAGAGGUCUCAAGCGUUGUUCGGAUUCAUUGGGCGUAAAGGGUGCGUAGGUGGCGCUGUAAGUCGGGUGUGAAAAUUUCGGAGCUUAACUCCGAAACUGCAUUCGAUACUGCGGUGCUUUGAGGACUGGAGAGGAGACUGGAAUUCAUGGUGUAGCAGUGAAAAUGCGUAGAGAUCAUGAGGAAGACCGUGGCGAAGGCGGGUCUCUGGACAGUUCCUGACACU
rnacentral:rRNA from 1 species